GACGAACGCUGGCGGCGUGCCUAAUACAUGCCAGUAGAACGCUGAAGAGAGGAGCUUGCUCUUCUUGGAUGAGUUGCGAACGGGUGAGUAACGCGUAGGUAACCUGCCUGGUAGCGGGGGAUAACUAUUGGAAACGAUAGCUAAUACCGCAUAAAAUUGAUUAUUGCAUGAUAAUUAAUUGAAAGAUGCAACUGCAUCACUACCAGAUGGACCUGCGUUGUAUUAGCUAGUUGGUGAGGUAACGGCUCACCAAGGCGACGAUACAUAGCCGACCUGAUAGGGUGAGCGGCCACACUGGGACUGAGACACGGCCCAGACUCCUACGGGAGGCAGCAGUAGGGAAUCUUCGGCAAUGGGGGGAACCCUGACCGAGCAACGCCGCGUGAGUGAAGAAGGGUUUCGGAUCGUAAAGCUCUGUUGUAAGGGAAGAACGGGGGUGAGAGUGGAAAGUUCACACUGUGACGGUAUCUUACCAGAAAGGGACGGCUAACUACGUG
rnacentral:rRNA from 1 species